rnacentral:misc_RNA from 1 species
AGGGAUCAUUACCGAGUUUACAACUCCCAAACCCCUGUGAACAUACCACUUGUUGCCUCGGCGGAUCAGCCCGCUCCCGGUAAAACGGGACGGCCCGCCAGAGGACCCCUAAACUCUGUUUCUAUAUGUAACUUCUGAGUAAAACCAUAAAUAAAUCAAAACUUUCAACAACGGAUCUCUUGGUUCUGGCAUCGAUGAAGAACGCAGCAAAAUGCGAUAAGUAAUGUGAAUUGCAGAAUUCAGUGAAUCAUCGAAUCUUUGAACGCACAUUGCGCCCGCCAGUAUUCUGGCGGGCAUGCCUGUUCGAGCGUCAUUUCAACCCUCAAGCACAGCUUGGUGUUGGGACUCGCGUUAAUUCGCGUUCCCCAAAUUGAUUGGCGGUCACGUCGAGCUUCCAUAGCGUAGUAGUAAAACCCUCGUUACUGGUAAUCGUCGCGGCCACGCCGUUAAACCCCAACUUCUGAAUGUUGACCUCGGAUCAGGUAGGAAUACCCGCUGAACUU